UAUACCCAAACAAACUCGGGUAAGCGUACACCGAUGUGGGAGUGUGCAUUAGAAUGGAAUCCUGGAUUUUUGGCACCGAAAAUAGCGGGCGGGCGGCGCUGGCGCUGGGCGGCGCGCGCAGUGCGUGUCGCUCCGCCGUGUGAACAGCCCGCUAGGCCAGUUGGCGUAUUAUUUUGAACGGACCGUGAAAACAAAAAACAGCCACAAUGGACGCGAUCAAGAAGAAGAUGCAGGCGAUGAAGCUGGAGAAGGAUAAUGCCAUGGACAAGGCAGAUACCUGCGAACAGCAGGCCAGGGAUGCCAACCUCCGCGCCGAGAAGGUCAACGAGGAAGUCCGUGAGCUCCAGAAGAAGCUCGCCCAAGUCGAGGAGGACCUCGUCCUUAACAAGAACAAACUGGAGCAAGCCAACAAGGACCUGGAAGAGAAGGAGAAGCAACUGACCGCCACCGAGGCGGAGGUGGCCGCCCUCAACAGGAAGGUGCAGCAGAUUGAAGAGGACCUCGAAAAGUCCGAGGAGAGGUCCGGCACCGCCCAGCAGAAACUGCUCGAGGCCCAGCAGUCUGCUGACGAAAACAACCGUAUGUGCAAAGUAUUGGAGAACAGGGCACAACAGGACGAGGAGCGUAUGGACCAGCUCACCAACCAACUGAAGGAAGCUCGUCUUCUCGCUGAGGACGCUGACGGUAAAUCUGAUGAGGUUUCACGCAAGUUAGCCUUCGUUGAAGACGAACUCGAAGUCGCUGAGGACCGUGUCAAGUCUGGUGACGCAAAGAUCUCAGAACUUGAGGAAGAAUUGAAGGUUGUAGGUAACUCCCUUAAAUCACUUGAAGUAUCAGAAGAGAAGGCCAACCAGCGCGUAGAAGAAUUCAAAAAGCAGCUAAAGACCCUGACCUCCAAACUCAAGGAAGCCGAGGCCCGCGCUGAGUACGCCGAGAAGACUGUGAAGAAACUGCAGAAGGAAGUCGACAGGCUUGAAGACGCUUUGUUCAACGAGAAGGAGAAAUACAAGGCGAUAUGCGAUGACUUGGACGGCACAUUCGCCGAGCUCACCGGAUACUAACAAAGCUUGCUAGUUUAAGACAUCAAAAUCCCACAGGAACACCCAAAACCGUAUCUCACCCUCGUACCCCUCUGUACAAAACCAAUAGGAUAUAGUCAAUCCGCACGUCUUAUAAGUCUUAGAUGUAGGAUCGCCUUAAUAUCUACUUCUUAUCAAAUAACCCAACCAUAACCUUUGGGAUUGACGUUUCACAGAGCCUGUGAGCUUCUGUUUUCGUCAAUCCUCGUCAAUUCAUAUCAAACCUAGCUUUAUUCGUUGUGUUUAACAUGUCUUAUGCUUUGCUGCUACCGACGUGGAUCAGUGCUUUCAAGACGAGCUGGGCAUCAACAAAGACAGAUACAAGAGCUUGGCUGACGAGAUGGACUCCACCUUCGCCGAACUUGCCGGUUAUUAGACACUUCAGUAGUACACGCGCUACCAACGACGCUAUCAAAUUAAUACACGUGAUGUAAUAUUUAUUAAUAUUAUAUGUAAAUUUAUUUACGAUUUUCAAAUAAAAAUAAUUUAUAACAACUUUUAUUCAUAUAAA